UGGGGAAUUUUGGACAAUGGGCGAAAGCCUGACGCAGCAACGCCGCGUGAAGGAUGAAAUCCUUCGGGAUGUAAACUUCGCAAAACUGGGAAGAACAAAAUGACGGUACCAGUUGUAAGCCACGGCUAACUCUGUGCCAGCAGCCGCGGUAAUACAGAGGUGGCAAGCGUUGUUCGGAAUUACUGGGCGUAAAGCGCGUGUAGGCGGCUCUUCAAGUCAGGCGUGAAAGCCCCAGGCUCAACCUGGGAAAUGCGUUUGAUACUGUCGAGCUAGAGUGCAGAAGGGGCAAUCGGAAUUCUUGGUGUAGCGGUGAAAUGCGUAGAUAUCAAGAGGAACACCUGAGGUGAAGACGGGUUGCUGGGCUGACACUGACGCUGAGGCGCGAAAGCCAGGGGAGCAAACGGGAUUAGAUACCCCUGUAGUCCCUGAGCGGGCUGGCAAGGCGCAU
rnacentral:rRNA from 1 species